rnacentral:rRNA from 1 species
UACAGAGGUCUCAAGCGUUGUUCGGAUUCAUUGGGCGUAAAGGGUGCGUAGGCGGCGCGGUAAGUCGGGUGUGAAAUCUCGGAGCUUAACUCCGAAACUGCAUUCGAUACUGCCGUGCUUGAGGACUGGAGAGGAGACUGGAAUUUACGGUGUAGCGGUGAAAUGCGUAGAUAUCGUAAGGAAGACCAGUGGCGAAGGCGGGUCUCUGGACAGUUCCUGACGCUGGAGGCACGAAGGCCAGGGGAGCAAACGGGG